UUUCAGCCCAGAACCUCUUGGUAU
rnacentral:siRNA from 1 species